rnacentral:rRNA from 1 species
GAUGAACGCUGGCGGCGUGCCUAAUGCAUGCAAGUCGAGCGAACGGACGAGAAGCUUGCUUCUCUGAUGUUAGCGGCGGACGGGUGAGUAACACGUGGAUAACCUACCUAUAAGACUGGGAUAACUUCGGGAAACCGUAGCUAAUACCGGAUAAUAUUUUGAACCGCAUGGUUCAAAAGUGAAAGACGGUCUUGCUGUCACUUAUAGAUGGAUCCGCGCUGCAUUAGCUAGUUGGUAAGGUAACGGCUUACCAAGGCAACGAUGCAUAGCCGACCUGAGAGGGUGAUCGGCCACACUGGAACUGAGACACGGUCCAGACUCCUACGGGAGGCAGCAGUAGGGAAUCUUCCGCAAUGGGCGAAAGCCUGACGGAGCAACGCCGCGUGAGUGAUGAAGGUCUUCGGAUCGUAAAACUCUGUUAUUAGGGAAGAACAUAUGUGUAAGUAACUGUGCACAUCUUGACGGUACCUAAUCAGAAAGCCACGGCUAACUACGUG